UUCGACCUCAAAUCAGGUAGGACUACCCGCUGAACUUAAGCAUAUCAAUAAGCCGGGAGGAAUAA
rnacentral:rRNA from 1 species